GAAAUCAGUCCUCUUCAAAAAGAAAGACGUGCGAAAUGUGUAUAUAAUCAUCACAUUUUUCGGAAGGGUUAUGCGAAUCUUGCCCAAGAAUUAAACCUCGAAUGAUCCUUCUUAUCAGGCGACUUUAUGGAAAGAAGCUAGAAAAGGAAAAAAUAAUGAAUAAUUUGAUGAAGCUACUCGAGAAUAUGCCAAUCAGAUUGAUAAAUGGGUUGAAGUCUAUGAAGAUGAAGAUGUUCCGACCAAAGCAUUGGGUACAGGGGAACAUUGGGGACGUGUUAGAGGAAUGGGUGCUUUUGUUUCCUAUUCCCAAUAUUUCAAAUUAGUAAAACCAAAGUCCUCAAUGAGCCAAGAAAUUGAAGGAGGCUCUAGUGAAAAAAAUGUUCGACAUGGUAAAGUGCCAAGAGAAAGACCUCACGACAGACAAUCUCAUCAGUCCAAAUCAUCUGUUGGAAGUGUUGCACUAAGUGCAUCUGAAGAAGAAGAUACUGAGAAGAUACCUAAAGAAGAU